rnacentral:rRNA from 1 species
UACGAAGGGGGCUAGCGUUGUUCGGAUUUACUGGGCGUAAAGCGCACGUAGGCGGGUUCUUAAGUCAGGGGUGAAAUCCUGGAGCUCAACUCCAGAACUGCCUUUGAUACUGGGAAUCUCGAGUCCGGGAGAGGUGAGUGGAACUGCGAGUGUAGAGGUGAAAUUCGUAGAUAUUCGCAAGAACACCAGUGGCGAAGGCGGCUCACUGGCCCGGUACUGACGCUGAGGUGCGAAAGCGUGGGGAGCAAACAGG